UGGAUUUUAGAUAUAAAAAAAUGGAUCCGAUGGAUCCAAUAUCCAUUGGAUCCAUCAGAUCCGUCGGAUCCUUUUUUUUAUAUAACUAAAAUCCAAU